UGGGGAAUAUUGCACAAUGGGCGCAAGCCUGAUGCAGCCAUGCCGCGUGUGUGAAGAAGGCCUUCGGGUUGUAAAGCACUUUCAGCGGGGAGGAAGGCGGUGAGGUUAAUAACCUCAUCGAUUGACGUUACCCGCAGAAGAAGCACCGGCUAACUCCGUGCCAGCAGCCGCGGUAAUACGGAGGGUACAAGCGUUAAUCGGAAUUACUGGGCGUAAAGCGCACGCAGGCGGUUUGUUAAGUCAGAUGUGAAAUCCCCGGGCUCAACCUGGGAACUGCAUCUGAUACUGGCAAGCUUGAGUCUCGUAGAGGGGGGUAGAAUUCCAGGUGUAGCGGUGAAAUGCGUAGAGAUCUGGAGGAAUACCGGUGGCGAAGGCGGCCCCCUGGACGAAGACUGACGCUCAGGUGCGAAAGCGUGGGGAGCAAACAGG
rnacentral:rRNA from 1 species